rnacentral:rRNA from 1 species
GACGAACGCUGGCGGCGUGCUUAACACAUGCAAGUCGAACGAAGAGCGACGGAAGCUUGCUUCUAUCACUCUUAGUGGCGCACGGGUGAGUAACGCGUAAUCAACCUGCCCUUCAGAGGGGGACAACAGUUGGAAACGACUGCUAAUACCGCAUACGAUCUAAUCUCGGCAUCGAGGAUGGAUGAAAGGUGGCCUCUACAUGUAAGCUAUCACUGAAGGAGGGGAUUGCGUCUGAUUAGCUAGUUGGAGGGGUAACGGCCCACCAAGGCGAUGAUCAGUAGCCGGUCUGAGAGGAUGAACGGCCACAUUGGGACUGAGACACGGCCCAGACUCCUACGGGAGGCAGCAGUGGGGAAUCUUCCGCAAUGGACGAAAGUCUGACGGAGCAACGCCGCGUGAGUGAUGACGGCCUUCGGGUUGUAAAGCUCUGUUAAUCGGGACGAAAGGCCUUCUUGCGAAUAGUGAGAAGGAUUGACGGUACCGGAAUAGAAAGCCACGGCUAACUACGUG